rnacentral:rRNA from 1 species
GGGUUGUGAGGUUAAGCGACUAAGCGUACACGGUGGAUGCCCUGGCAGUCAGAGGCGAUGAAGGACGUGCUAAUCUGCGAAAAGCGACGGCGAGGUGAUAUGAACCUUUGACCCGUCGAUGUCCGAAUGGGGAAACCCAGUGUGUUUCGACACACUAUCGUUAACUGAAUACAUAGGUUAACGAGGCGAACCGGGGGAACUGAAACAUCUAAGUACCCCGAGGAAAAGAAAUCAACCGAGAUUCCCCCAGUAGCGGCGAGCGAACGGGGAGCAGCCCGGAGUCUGAAUCAGCUUGUGUGUUAGUGGAAGCGUCUGGAAAGUCGCACGGUACAGGGUGACAGUCCCGUACACGAAAAUGCACAGGUUGUGAACUCGAAGAGUAGGGCGGGACACGUGGUAUCCUGUCUGAAUAUGGGGGGACCAUCCUCCAAGGCUAAAUACUCCUGACUGACCGAUAGUGAACCAGUACCGUGAGGGAAAGGCGAAAAGAACCCCGGCGAGGGGAGUGAAAAAGAACCUGAAACCGUGUACGUACAAGCAGUGGGAGCACCUUCGUGGUGUGACUGCGUACCUUUUGUAUAAUGGGUCAGCGACUUAUAUUCUGUAGCAAGGUUAACCGUAUAGGGGAGCCGCAGGGAAACCGAGUCUUAACUGGGCGUUAAGUUGCAGGGUAUAGACCCGAAACCCGGUGAUCUAGCCAUGGGCAGGUUGAAGGUUGGGUAACACUAACUGGAGGACCGAACCGACUAAUGUUGAAAAAUUAGCGGAUGACCUGUGGCUGGGGGUGAAAGGCCAAUCAAACCGGGAGAUAGCUGGUUCUCCCCGAAAGCUAUUUAGGUAGCGCCUCGUGAACUCAUCUUCGGGGGUAGAGCACUGUUUCGGCUAGGGGGCCAUCCCGGCUUACCAACCCGAUGCAAACUACGAAUACCGAAGAAUGUUAUCACGGGAGACACACGGCGGGUGCUAACGUCCGUCGUGAAGAGGGAAACAACCCAGACCGCCAGCUAAGGUCCCAAAGUCAUGGUUAAGUGGGAAACGAUGUGGGAAGGCACAGACAGCCAGGAUGUUGGCUUAGAAGCAGCCAUCAUUUAAAGAAAGCGUAAUAGCUCACUGGUCGAGUCGGCCUGCGCGGAAGAUGUAACGGGGCUAAACCAUGCACCGAAGCUGCGGCAGCGACACUAUGUGUUGUUGGGUAGGGGAGCGUUCUGUAAGCCGUUGAAGGUGUGCUGUGAGGCAUGCUGGAGGUAUCAGAAGUGCGAAUGCUGACAUAAGUAACGAUAAAGCGGGUGAAAAGCCCGCUCGCCGGAAGACCAAGGGUUCCUGUCCAACGUUAAUCGGGGCAGGGUGAGUCGACCCCUAAGGCGAGGCCGAAAGGCGUAGUCGAUGGGAAACAGGUUAAUAUUCCUGUACUUGGUGUUACUGCGAAGGGGGGACGGAGAAGGCUAUGUCAGCCGGGCGACGGUUGUCCCGGUUUAAGCGUGUAGGUGUGUGUUCCAGGCAAAUCCGGUUCACUUUAACACUGAGGCGUGAUGACGAGGCACUACGGUGCUGAAGUGAUAAAUGCCCUGCUUCCAGGAAAAGCCUCUAAGCAUCAGGUAACACGAAAUCGUACCCCAAACCGACACAGGUGGUCAGGUAGAGAAUACCAAGGCGCUUGAGAGAACUCGGGUGAAGGAACUAGGCAAAAUGGUGCCGUAACUUCGGGAGAAGGCACGCUGAUAUGUAGGUGAAGUCCCUGCGGACGGAGCUGAAAUCAGUCGAAGAUACCAGCUGGCUGCAACUGUUUAUUAAAAACACAGCACUGUGCAAACACGAAAGUGGACGUAUACGGUGUGACGCCUGCCCGGUGCCGGAAGGUUAAUUGAUGGGGUUAGCGGCAACGCGAAGCUCUUGAUCGAAGCCCCGGUAAACGGCGGCCGUAACUAUAACGGUCCUAAGGUAGCGAAAUUCCUUGUCGGGUAAGUUCCGACCUGCACGAAUGGCGUAAUGAUGGCCAGGCUGUCUCCACCCGAGACUCAGUGAAAUUGAACUCGCUGUGAAGAUGCAGUGUACCCGCGGCAAGACGGAAAGACCCCGUGAACCUUUACUAUAGCUUGACACUGAACACUGGUCCUUGAUGUGUAGGAUAGGUGGGAGGCUUUGAAGCGUGGACGCCAGUCUGCGUGGAGCCAUCCUUGACAUACCACCCUUUAAGGGGUGGUGUUCUAACGUGGACCCGUGAUCCGGGUUGCGGACAGGGGCUGGUGGGUAGGUUGACUGGGGCGGUCGCCUCCCAAAGAGUAACGGAGGAGCACGAAGGUUAGCAAAUCCUGGUCGGACAUCAGGAGGUUAGUGCAAUGGCAUAAGCUAGCUUGACUGCGAGAGUGACGGCUCGAGCAGGUGCGAAAGCAGGUCAUAGUGAUCCGGUGGUUCUGAAUGGAAGGGCCAUCGCUCAACGGAUAAAAGGUACUCCGGGGAUAACAGGCUGAUACCGCCCAAGAGUUCAUAUCGACGGCGGUGUUUGGCACCUCGAUGUCGGCUCAUCACAUCCUGGGGCUGAAGUAGGUCCCAAGGGUAUGGCUGUUCGCCAUUUAAAGUGGUACGCGAGCUGGGUUUAGAACGUCGUGAGACAGUUCGGUCCCUAUCUGCCGUGGGCGCUGGAGAAUUGAGGGGGGCUGCUCCUAGUACGAGAGGACCGGAGUGGACGCAUCACUGGUGUUCGGGUUGUCAUGCCAAUGGCACUGCCCGGUAGCUAAAUGCGGAAGAGAUAAGUGCUGAAAGCAUCUAAGCACGAAACUUGCCCCGAGAUGAGUUCUCCCUGAGACUUUAAGUCUCCUGAAGGAACGUUGAAGACGACGACGUUGAUAGGCCGGGUGUGUAAGCGCAGCGAUGCGUUGAGCUAACCGGUACUAAUGAACCGUGAGGCUUAACCUUACAACGCCGAAG